AUGAACGACUAUUGAUGACUUGAAGUAUAUCAUAUUAUGUUUUUUCAUUAAGGCAUACAUGAUAUUUACAUCUGUUAUGGUGCACUUUGGCAAUAGUUGGGAGGUUUAUGAUAAUAUUAUUUAGUGAAGAGCUACAUUGAUAUUUGUUUUCAAGAUUUACGUUUUAUGUGCAAUUUGAUCUUUGUGCAUAGUUAUUUUAUUCUUUUACUCAUUAUUCCAAUAGCAAGAUUGCCUUCUUCUGCA
rnacentral:misc_RNA from 1 species